AGUCACUCUGUUCUCCCUCCCCCAGGCACACAGAUUCUCCCUCCACUUGCUGCUGCUGGAGGGUAAGGGAGAAGUGCUGUAUACAGGGCAGGCCUGCCUUUCCUAACCCCAUCGGUGCCUCUUUCCUUGAUAUGAUGUCAGAAUCAGAUUAGCUCUUUGGAACUGAGAGAUGAGAUGAGGCCUGGAAAACUUCCCCCAGUACAGUCAAGUUCCUGUUGACUAAUUCUGUGACCACCAGUGACAGUCUUUGAGUCCGUGAGGCAGAGUUGCGGCAGCACAGGCUUUGCUUGGAGUUGGAUGGUUCGCACCCUGCUUGGCAUGGUUUCUAAGAGACAUCCUCUGAGUGGAUGAGGGGAGAAUCCAGCAGGCCUCUAGUCACACUGGACAGUUGCUCUGAUUCAUUUCUGGACUUCAGUGGAAGAAGCAGCCCUUAUUUAGGAUAUUGUUAGUCUUUGGCAGAGGGAAUACAAAGCAAUGGAAGGGUGAUGUGAUGGCUCCGAAAGCUUCUGUUGGAUGUAGAAUAUAAAGUUUGCUCACCUUUUUUAAUCCAAAGAGAAAAACAAGGAGAGAAAAAUCUAAACCCAGCAGAAGAGAAAGUUUAAGAAAGCGGUCGUCGCCAAUACCAAAAUUAGCUAUGAUAUUCAGGAAGAAAAAAAUGGAAACACGAUAACCACAGUCAAUAAAGACCAAGGCCACAUUCCAUUGACCAGAGCUCAGCCACGCGCCACACCUGGCUAAAGAGACUCUGGCUGAAGAAUUCCCUGAAUAUUUUAAUGUAGCUCUAGGUUAUAACACAGAACAACCACAAGGUGGCAGAAGAACUCCAUUCUUGUAAAUCUCUUAGUUGCUUCUUUAUUUCAUCUUCCCUAUUCCAUCUAAUGUUCCCUGAAUUUUACUAUUUUGUUGGUUUGAAAAUAUGUGUGACUUACGUCCUUUAAAGGAUUUGGUUCGUAAGGUUUUGAAUAGACUGGAAUAUAAAACAUUUAUAGAAAAGAAAAAUACCUACAGUAUGAUGUUAGUGAACUAUUAAUAAUCCAAUUAAAUAAAAUAUAUUUGCUUUGGAUUAAUAC
rnacentral:lncRNA from 1 species